rnacentral:rRNA from 1 species
AGGACGAACGCUGGCGGCGUGCUUAACACAUGCAAGUCGAGCGGAAAGGCCCUUCGGGGUACUCGAGCGGCGAACGGGUGAGUAACACGUGAGCAACCUGCCCCUGGCUCUGGGAUAGCCUCCGGAAACGGGGAUUAAUACCGGACAUUCACUUCCUUCCGCAUGGUUGGUGGUGGAAAGUUUUUCGGCCGGGGAGGGGCUCGCGGUCUAUCAGCUUGUUGGCGGGGUAACGGCCCACCAAGGCGACGACGGAUAGCCGGCCUGAGAGGGCGAUCGGCCACACUGGGACUGAGACACGGCCCAGACUCCUACGGGAGGCAGCAGUGGGGAAUAUUGCACAAUGGGCGCAAGCCUGAUGCAGCGACGCCGCGUGGGGGAUGAAGGCCUUCGGGUUGUAAACCCCUUUCACCAGGAGCGAAUUCAGACGGUACCGUGGGGAAGAAGCGCCGGCUAACUACGCGCCAGCAGCCGC